AAGAAAGGUAACUUCGAGUUCACAAAUUUGUCUAAGACCUUGGCCUCCAAAAAUACAACAGGAACUUUGCAAGUUCUAUUUUGCUUUGUGGCAAGUGACAAAGACAAUUUAUCAAAAAAUUUCAUCUUAGUACCCAAAACAUGAAUAAUUUUAAACCUUGGAUAUUUGAGGUCAGCUGCUCAAAUGCUACAAUAUGCUUUGUCUCAAAGCCAAUAACAAUAACAACAAUAACUAAGCUUUAAUCUUAAACUAAUUAGAA
rnacentral:misc_RNA from 1 species